rnacentral:rRNA from 1 species
GACGUAGGGCGCGAGCGUUGUCCGGAUUUAUUGGGCGUAAAGAGCUCGUAGGCGGCUUGUCGCGUCGACCGUGAAAACUUGGGGCUCAACCCCAAGCCUGCGGUCGAUACGGGCAGGCUAGAGUUCGGUAGGGGAGACUGGAAUUCCUGGUGUAGCGGUGAAAUGCGCAGAUAUCAGGAGGAACACCGGUGGCGAAGGCGGCAUCCUGGACCGGUACUGACGCUGAGGUGCGAAAGCGUGGGGAGCAAACAGG